GGCGCUCUCUCAUACACAGCCUGUUUUGCCGGCAUGUUUGUACCAUCCGCCUGAGUGGCAUUUGGUUCCCCAGAAGGACCAAGACCCCGAGAUCGAGGACCCGCACCCCCUGAGCCUCACCUCGACGGACGUGGUCAUCUCCGAGAACGGCAUCGUCGAGGACCACCCCCACCCCCAGCCACCCCCAACGCCCGAGAGAGGAAGGGCCCAUCCACCCCGGGGGCGCGGUCGAUCCAGGAGGAAGAGGAGGAAGAGGAGAACGUGCUCUUCGUGAUGCCCGCGACGGCUACAUCGGCGACGACCUCUUCCUCGGAGCGAAGAGGGACGACGAGGUGGUCCUCGACUCGGGCGAAGGCGGGGAAGAAUGGGGUCCCCGAUGCCGCGAUGAGGAAGGUCGAUUCGGCGAUGUCCUUGGGGAGUUCGAUUCCCAUGCUGAUCCUGAUUGAUAAUAAGAUCUAUCAGGAGGAUCAGGGCAACGCGAAGAGGAGUUGCUGUGACGACUUCGUGGUUGUGAAGGUCUUCACCAUGCUCAAGUACUCCCUCCUGAAGGACCCAUACUUCCACCUCGUAGCUUGGCCCAACGCCCUCUGCCUCACCGCCUACAUCAACUCCAUGUACGCGCUGCCAGGCUAUGUCACGAGCCAAGGGUAUACACCUUAUCAAAGUGCUUAUGCCAUUUCGGUGUUCAGUGUUAGUGAGGCCGCGCUAGGCUUACCAUCGCCGUUCUCUCUGAUAUGGACUGGUUCCCUGUAGAAGCUGCCUAUACCACUGGUUUUAUCCUUGCUUCUCUCUGUACGAGCUUGCUGCCCCUGAUCCCCUCCUACGAGUGGAUCCUGGCCUGUCAGGUGGUCAACGGCCUGGCCAUGAGUCUCGUCAGCGUCCUUUUCAUCCACGUGGCCCUCAGGUACCACCCGGUCGAGAACUACGCCCAGGUCAUCGGCUUCUGUUCCAUCUUGAACGGGAUUUUGCUGUUUGUGCUCGGGUCGCUUAUCGGAUUCGUAGCAGACAUCCAAGGACACAACGGCGCCUACUACCUAAUUGGGUCAAUCGCGGCCAUAGCAGCUGGUAUUUGGGUCGUUAGGCUUGUUUGCACUGUUAGAAAGCAUUAUAAACAAGUUCCUGUGCCUACUUCGUAAUGUUUAGUUUUUAAUAGAUAAAUUAAUGUGUGUAUAUAUUGAUGCGAGUCUUUUUCUCUUUUUCUCUAUUUUAUUUGUUAUGUG